rnacentral:rRNA from 1 species
CCUACGGGUGGCAGCAGUGGGGAAUAUUGCACAAUGGGGGAAACCCUGAUGCAGCGACGCCGCGUGAGUGAAGAAGGAUUUCGGGAUGUAAAGCACUAUCAGCAGGGAAGAAAAUGACGGUACCAGAAUAAGAAGCCCCGGCCAACUACGGGCCAGCAGCCGCGGUAAUACGUAGGGGGAAAGCGUUAGUCGGAUUGACUGGGGGUAAAGGGAGCGUAGACGGUAGCACAAGUCGGGAGUGAAAUCCCGGGGCUUAACCCCGGAACUGCUUUGGAUACUGUGCAGCUGGAGUGCAGGAGAGGUAAGUGGAAUUCCUAGUGUAGCGGUGAAAUGCGUAGAUAUUAGGAGGAACACCAGUGGCGAAGGCGGCUUACUGGACUGUAACUGACGUUGAGGCUCGAAAGCGUGGGGAGCAAACAGGAUUAGAUACCCGGGUAGUC